rnacentral:rRNA from 1 species
AAUGAACGCUGGCGGCGCGCCUAAUACAUGCAAGUCGAGCGAGAAGACGUAGCAAUACGUUUGUAAAGCGGCGAACGGGUGAGGAAUACAUGGGUAACCUACCCUAGAGUGGGGAAUAACUAGCCGAAAGGUUAGCUAAUACCGCGUACGCUCCUUGGACUUCGGUUCAGGGAGGAAAGCGAUACCGUGGGUAUCGCGCUCUUGGUUGGGCUCAUGUCCUAUCAGCUUGUUGGUGAGGUAACGGCUCACCAAGGCUUCGACGGGUAGCUGGUCUGGGAGGACGAUCAGCCACACUGGCACUGCGACACGGGCCAGACUCCUACGGGAGGCAGCAGUAAGGAAUAUUGCGCAAUGGGCGAAAGCCUGACGCAGCGACGCCGCGUGGGGGAGUGAA